rnacentral:rRNA from 1 species
CAGUAGCCGCGGUAAUACGUAGGGUGCAAGCGUUAAUCGGAAUUACUGGGCGUAAAGCGUGCGCAGGCGGUUCGUUAAGACAGAUGUGAAAUCCCCGGGCUUAACCUGGGAACUGCAUUUGUGACUGGCGGGCUAGAGUAUGGCAGAGGGGGGUAGAAUUCCACGUGUAGCAGUGAAAUGCGUAGAGAUGUGGAGGAAUACCGAUGGCGAAGGCAGCCCCCUGGGAUAACACUGACGCUCAUGCACGAAAGCGUGGGGAGCAAACAGGAUUAGAUACCCCUGUAGUCCCUGUCUCUUAUAA